GACAGAGGGUGCAAACGUUGUUCGGAAUUACUGGGCGUAAAGCGCGUGUAGGCGGACCUGCAAGUCGGGGGUGAAAGCCCGAGGCUCAACCUCGGAACUGCCUUCGAUACUGCGGGUCUCGAGUCCGGGAGAGGUGAGUGGAAUUCCUAGUGUAGAGGUGAAAUUCGUAGAUAUUAGGAAGAACACCAGUGGCGAAGGCGGCUCACUGGCCCGGUACUGACGCUGAGGCGCGAAAGCGUGGGGAGCAAACAGG
rnacentral:rRNA from 1 species